rnacentral:rRNA from 1 species
GCAGCAGGUCCCGCAAGGGAUGCUGGCGACCGGCAAACGGGUGCGGAACACGUACGCAACUUUCCUUCAAGUGGGGAAUAGCCCAGGGAAACUUGGAUUAAUACCCCGUAAUAUUUAGAGGUGGCAUCACCUCUUCAUUAUAGCUACGGCGCUUGAAGAUGGGCGUGCGCCUGAUUAGGUAGUUGGCGGGGUAACGGCCCACCAAGCCUACGAUCAGUAACUGGUGUGAGAGCACGACCAGUCACACGGGCACUGAGACACGGGCCCGACUCCUACGGGAGGCAGCAGUAAGGAAUAUUGGGCAAUGGACGCAAGUCUGACCCAGCCAUGCCGCGUGGAGGAUGAAGGUCCUCUGGAUUGUAAACUUCUUUUAUCUGGGAAGAAACCCAUGAAUUCUUUCGUGGUUGACGGUACCAGAUGAAUAAGCACCGGCUAACUCCGUGCCAGCAGCCGCGGUAAUACGGAGGGUGCAAGCGUUA